rnacentral:lncRNA from 1 species
AAAUAAAAACUUUAUACAUGGUUACCCUAAAACCUUAACAAUAUUUACCUGAUGAAAAACUACAAUACUUAAUUCAUAAGAUCGAAAGGAUCUUUCCAAUCAAUUGUGGAGUGGUCAAAUUUUAUACUUUAUGAAAUCAAUAUAAGAAUAAGUCCUUUGUUCUUAUUCACCACCUUCCUUCACAUACCAAACUUCCUCCGCGUUGGAGUACUCCCUUGUUCCUCAAUUUCUUUAUUAUUCCUUAGCUAUUUACCU